rnacentral:misc_RNA from 1 species
UUGUGGAGAAGGACGCCGAAGGUGGGGCUGAUGACUGGGGUGAAGUCGUAACAAGGUAGCCGUACCGGAAGGUGCGGCUGGAUCACCUCCUAACAGGGAGACAAUUAAAUAGAUUGUGAUGUCUAAGUAUUUUAUUCUUAGGCCACAAUCCUGUCACCUUAAGGUCGAUCGGUACCUCUGAUUUUAGAAUUUAUUUUAUAAUUUAUUCUAUUAUUUCAGUUCCUAAACUUGUCUAGGUCACACCCAACAAAGGUUUCUCCUGGGCCAUUAGCUCAGGUGGUUAGAGCGCACCCCUGAUAAGGGUGAGGUCCCUGGUUCAAGUCCAGGAUGGCCCAUUCGUUGUUGGGGGUAUAGCUCAGUUGGUAGAGCGCCUGCUUUGCAAGCAGGAUGUCAGCGGUUCGAGUCCGCUUACCUCCACUGAAAACUAUCCUGAUAACUAAAUUCUGGAGAAAAAUUUGUAGAUGUGACUUAGAAUUGUCUAUUGAAAAGAACCUAGCUUCUUAUCAUCUUUUAUAUAGUUGAUAACAUGCUGGGCUCCCAUGGAUUUAUUUCAUGAGAAUUCAGUAGAACCUUGAAAACUGCAUAGAUUAGAAAGAAUAAAGCAUCUCAUGGAUGCAUAAUUCUGUUUUUAUAAUUUAGCCUUAAAACUAAAUUUUAAUUAAAAGAAUUCAUGUUUAAUUCUUGAGUAAAAGCCGAGCACAAUUAAUUUUUUGAUUGUAUUAAGGUCAAGCUACAA